rnacentral:lncRNA from 1 species
UUGAAUAACACAAAAUGCGAAAACAAGUUAUGUUUUCUUCAAAUAAAUUACAUUUUGUUGUUUUGAAAAAUGAUUCAGUAUUUUUGUUUAAAGUAUUUGAAGUAUUGUUAUUUAAAUUAUUAUCCGAAGAUGUAAACUUUCGCUAAAACGUAUACACUUGUUACUAAACUACCGAUUAAGCUAAGUAAAGUAAAUAGCGUUCCAGUCCACUAGGGGUUGGGGUGUUACAGCGUGGUAUCAGAGCAAGGUUUAGCCGGUUCUGUAGACCAAGUAUGUUUUCUUUUUUAAAAAUAAAAGGAAAAUGAAAAGUUUAAGGUAUUCAUGGCAUCGUGCAUCCAUCCAUCAAUCUCAUCCUAUGGCCCAGGUAUGUUCGUGUUUAAAGUUAAUGAUUAUGCUUAUAUUAUGAUGCUUUGAUAUGAUUUAGAGAUGUGUUAUUUAAAGAUAUGUAAUGGACUUGGGCAAAAGUUAAGGGCUUAAAGGAAAUUGCAUGAUAUGAAAAUUUAAAUAUUUGCAUGUUUUCUUUAAGCAAAGAAAAAGUAUGAUGUAUGUGAAAAUGCAACAGAUAUGGCUCAUAGAACAGCUAGGGCAUAUAGAGAAGUAUUGAACCGUAGAAUUGCUAUCCAUUCCUAUGAAAACUAUGUAACUGAUCCGAUCCGACCGCUUAGCGAACAUGUGUGUGACAUCUAUGAGAGAUGAAUGAUGGCGAUUAAUGCUGAAAUGGAGAUCACGCAUAUUGAGGCCAUUAAUAACCUCACACACUCCCUCCCACUUCAAUGGGAGUCACGGUUAGAGAUGAAAUGUUAGAAGGCAACCUAAAUCUGUUCGAGUUUGAGAGGUAUUGCCAUGCCCUGAUUGAUUUGUGGAAUGAUGUAAUCCAUGAGGAGCUUCAGGAGGAACCUUUGGCUGAGGAAGAAGAUCCCGAAGAAGAACCCAAGGAUGAUUUAGAGAAUGAUCCUAAGCUUGAGCCACAGGUUGAGAUGGACAUAGAGUCUGGACCUGAGGCGGAAGACUCUUCCGAAGAUGAAGCUCCACCAAAGAAGAUCCGUAGAACUUAUAGGGAUUAGAUUUAAAUCCUUAUAAUAGCUUCUCUUAUGUCAAGAAAUAAAAUACUAUUUUCUUUGUUUUAGUAUUCGAAGAAUGAAACUAAUAAGAACCAUAUAUUUUGUCUAAAGGAAAUGGCCCGCGCAAACCAAAACUUGAUAAGAGACCUCCUCCGAGCGGUUCAAGACCUAAGCAGGCAAAACCCGAACCAAGCUCGACCCCUACCACUAGCUCCUAAUAUUCCAAACCAUGCUUCAGUGGUCAAGCAAUUUCGAAGGCACAAGCCCCCUACCUUCAACGGAGCAGCUGAUCCACUUGCAGCCGAGGAGUGGCUUCGCAAGUUGGAGCGUAUAUUCCGAUUGAUAGGGUGCACGGACGCUUAGAAAGUCCAGUGUGCUGAGUUUACGUUCUCCGGUGAUGCAAGUCACUGGUGGGACUCAAUGUCAAGGACAAGGACCCCUGAGCAACAAGCAGAAUUGACUUGGGAGCAAUUCAAAGGGGAAGUAAUGGACAAGUACUUUCCCCAGUCCUUGAGGGAUCACAAAGAAAGUGAAUUCCUCCAACUCAAGCAAAAGACUAUGCUUCUGACUGAGUAUGAAAGGAAGUUUGACCAAUUUUCAAAGUAUGCUCCACAUUUGGUAGAUACGGAAGAUAAGAAAGUCAGGAGGUUUGAACAAGGGUUGAACCCAGAUAUAAGCAUGAUACUUAUGUCCCAUUGUUUCACCUCAUAUCGUGAAAUGCUGGAAAGAGCUCAUGCUAUCUGGUACCAGAAGACUAGCGUCGAGCAACAUAGUCAACUGUCACACUCCUUUGUAUCGACAAUUUUUAUGGCUAAAGCUAGUAUUACCUGUGAUAAGUUGGAAGGUACAUUAGAAGUUAGUAUUCCUUCGGGCAACCCUUUGAAUACUGAUAGAAUAGCCAAAUCAGUAAGUAUCGAAGUUAAGGGAAAACCAAUGGAAGCGAACCUAUACAUGAUAGAAAUGAAGGAUUUUGAUGUAAUACUAGGCAUGGAUUGGUUAUGUUGUAAUUACGCCACCAUCCGAUAUAAUAAAAUUGAAGUAUCAUUUCAAAAACCAGGAGAGGAACCAUUUUCGUUCCUUGGAAUGAAGACGAAACCCCUUAUUCGACUAGUAUCGGCUUUACAAGCUUAGAAAAUGUUAAGAAAAGAAACAUGUCAAAGAUAUUUAGUAAGUAUCUCAGGAGGCAAAUAAGAAACGAUAAGGGUUGAAGAUGUACCAGUAGUACGGGAAUUCGUAGAUGUGUCUCCAGAAGAUCUAUCUGGUAUUCCACCCUAUAGACAAGUGGAAUUCACCAUAGACCUAAUUCCCGGGGCGGCACUAAUAUCUAAGGCCCCAUACCGAAUGGCCCCAAAAGAACUACAAGAAUUAAAGAAGUAGUUGCAAGAACUCCUAAAUAUGGGUUUCAUACGACCAAACGUAUCUCCAUGGGGUGCGCCGGUGUUAUUUGUAAAGAAGAAAGAUGGAAACAUGAGGAUGUGCAUAUAUUAUAGGGAGAUAAAUCGAUUAACCAUCAAGAAUAAGUACCCACUCCUGAGGAUCGAGGAUCUGUUAGAUCAACUGAAAGGAGCUAAGGUAUUUUUCAAGAUCGACUUACGAUCGGGAUACCAUCAACUGAAAGUAGAGACAAAUGAUAUACCUAAGACAGCUUUUAGAACUCGAUAUGGACACUACGAGUUUACGGUGAUGCCGUUUGGGCUAACCAAUGCACCUGCAGUGUUCAUGGACCUGAUAAAUCGAGUGUUUCAUCAAUACUUGGAUAAGUUUGUCAUAGUUUUCAUCGAUGACAUUCUGAUAUAUUCCAAGAGUAAGGAGCAACAUGAAGAGCACUUGAGAAUAGCCUUAGAGGUAUUACGCAAGGAGAAGUUGUAUGCCAAAUUCAAGAAGUGCUAGUUUUGGCUUGAACGAGUUCGAUUUCUUGGACAUGUAGUUACUGCCCAAGGGAUUGAAGUAGAUCCAGCAAAAGUAGAAGCAGUAACCAACUGGAAAACACCAACAAAUGCUGGCGAAGUACGGAGUUUUCUAGGAUUGGCUGGAUAUUAUAGGAGAUUCAUAGAAGGAUUCUCUAAAAUAGCUGGACCAAUGAUGCAGCUUAUAAGGAAGGGAGUAAAAUUUCAAUGGACGGAAAAAUGCGAACAAAGUUUCCAAGAACUUAAGCAGAAGUUGAUAUCAACACCUGUAUUAACAAUACCUGAAGGUACAGAAGGGUUUGUUAUAUAUAGCAACGCAUCCAAGCGAGGAUUGGGAUGUGUACUAAUGCAGAAUGGAAAAGUGAUAGCCUAUGCUUCAAGACAAUUGAAGAAACAUGAGCAGAACUACCCGGCGCAUGAUUUAGAACUUGCAGCGGUAGUACACGCUUUGAAGAUAUGGCGACACUACUUGUAUGGACGGAAGUGUGAUAUCUACACAGAUCACAAAAGUCUCAAGUAUUUCUUCAC